UUUUGGUUAACUGAUGGAAUUGUGAAUGAAAAUUGUUUAAAAGGGCUUUUCCUGCAACGUUUAGAAAGGUUGGGAUGAUAACUGCAACAAAUCAAAGAUUUUGAGAAAAUUUGCUAAUGUUUUAAAGAUUUGAGACUUCUGCUUCAAUUUUCCCUAAAAUGUAUUUAAACUAUUAGAUUAACCUUUCUAAUGAUCGAGAUUAUUUGUCAAUUUAUUUUACCCACGAAAAGAUCAAUGAACACACAUGCUAGGUGCAUCAAUGUUUGACACCUAAGCCAUGUUUGGCCAUUUGAUACAGGAAAAAUGCUACUCAAACAAGAAGGGAAAAAAAAAUCUGGGAAGAAAAAUAGGGUGAUGUGGCAGCUCCUGAUUGAAUAUUUCUAUGUUUUGUUUUUCCAACUUUUCGAUGAAAAUCUGUCAAGUGUAGUCUAGAAAAAAAUUCUAUCACUAAGCCUGUCCAUAUAGCAUGAUUGUUGAUAUAGCUGGCUAUCAAUUAAUGGGCCGUGACUGGGCAUAUAUCAGCCCUUAGGCACUGUCAAAUAUGGGGCCAGGCCGGGGGCAAUAAUUGUUGGGCAUUUUACAUAAAUACACUAAAAUGGCAUACCAAUUUGAAAAAUGAGUAUAUAAAUUAGUCAACAAUUAAUUACGUUCAUUGACAUAUAAAAUACGUAUAAAUUAAUGUAAAAUCAACCAAAUCACAAUCCUAAACCGACACAAUUCAAGAACUGUAAUUCUCUCACAAAAUUCUUCACAUCUAACUCAAAUUCAAAGUUAAAAAUGCCUUUCUUUCAAAUUAUUGUGAUGAUAUUUUGCUCUUUUCUUUCUUAAAAUUUGAAAAUGAUGAUGACGAAGACGACGACUCUACAUCUGUUUAUUGCACUGGAAGUCACUUUUCAGAUCUUGGGAUUAGUUUCAUCCUCACUUUCAGUUUCAUUUAUAAUCAGGAUCUGAUACAUCAUCCCACAAAAAGAGAAAGAAGGUUCCCUCUACUUCAAGGGGAAUUGAAGAAGGCAAGAAGCGAAGUUUUAAUGUCGUUAAAAAGAGACUAAGUUGUUAUCAGGGGCGGAGCAAGCAUCCGGCGAGGAGGCACGAUCGCGUGUGCUCGCUCCGUCGAAAUAUUCAGAACCCUCAUGAAGCAAUCAGCAGUAGGUUGCAGUUGCAGACUUGCAGAGCUGGCUCGAGAUGGAACUUGGAAGACGAAGAUGAAAGAGACGACCUAUUAUUUUUUGUUUGGACGGAAGUGAGUAAUUAAGUUAAUAAGAUGUUGGGCCUCUUUUUGUUUAGCCCAAUAAAUUCCCAAAUGAACGAAAUAACAAAUGGUCCAAUUUCCUAAUGAUCAUAUCUAUUCCAUUUUCAAAUCAAUUCCAAGAAUCCAAUUGCCCAAAUUGUGAAGGGUGAAAGCCAAACGCUUUUCCUCUCCUCCACUCUCUUGUCCAGACGGCACACACUCCAUUCUAUAAUUCCAUUCAAAAUCGAAGAAGAAGCAGCACCGACUCCACGAGGAGGAGGAGUUGUUGGAGCCCAAAGCCGCCAACGAUAUGUUCUGCUGCCGUCUGUCGUUUCUGCCUUCUGGUCUCGAGCUGGUGAUUGGUGACUCUUUCUCUCUCUCGGUUUUUUUUUUGUUCUAUUUUGUAUUCGCCCUUGCUUGUUGAUGUUGAAUGUCGAAUAAUGAUUCUAAUGAAUAUGAUUUAUGUUAAGUAAUUAUGUUUUAUGAGUUAUGA